GCAGUGUUCAGUGCGAUGGCAAUUGUGGCAUCCAUGGAUCUGUUGGGGCGGUCUGCAAAUUGUGGUCUGUCUAGGGUGUCAGGAACAAUGGUGGACAUCUUGAAGCAAGUGGGGACAACAGACUGUGAUAGAAAGAGAUUAAUUAUGUUCGUAAACACUCCAGUCAGUUGGUCUGCACAUACUCUGAGGACGCAGCUUGGGACGCCGUCUUGGUCGGAGGGUUAACACACUUAAAUAUCAGUGGAGGCAGCUGAACGGAGGACAGCUCAUAAUAAUGGCUGGAACGGAGCGAAUGGAAAGGCAUCACAUCAAACACAUGGAAACCAUUCCGCUCCACCAUUACCACGGGUCCAUCCACCUCAAUUAAGGUGCCAUCAAACUCCUGUGGCGAAGAAGAAUUUUAGCUUGCCUGGGAGCAAGAUCAAUAAAAUCAGAUCAACAUCUGAGCAAUAACAUUGCUAAAUACGUGUAUGUUACCAAUAAC
ensembl:lncRNA